GGAUCAUCUGAUAAAUUUUCCUUUUUGCAUUAUGUACGUCUCAUCAACCAACAAAGUAAAAAAACAAAAAAAAAAAUGUAAGAAAAGAAAUCCAACAGGGAGGCAUAUGUGCUCAAGUCGAACUCGAAUUCGAAAGGGGCCCAUAUAUCAAGAUGCUAAAACAGCUGAUAGUGUGAGGAGUAAAGGCAGUAAUUGGGGACAUCUAAGCAUUUCUGAAAAUCUUGGGGGCAGUGGAUAUUUAAGCUAACAACUAGAGGGGCAUCUGAUAAUUUCAUCCUUAACGCCACUCUUGGAGCAACGGAGUUUUUGGCAUUGCCGUUGAACAAAAAUGUCAUUUCCUGUAUAUGCGUUGUUGAAUUGCCAACUGAUUUGACGCGUUCAAUUGUGGAACAGUUGACUUCCCUAGCACAUGGAAUUGAGUGGCACGCAACUGCUGGAAAAGAAAAAGGAAAUUGAAAGGAAGAGUGAUCUUUAAAGAAUAAUAUCAACAAAAUGUAACAAAGAGUUUUGUCCUUCUAUUUAAUCUGGGGAUUUUUUUUUUAAAAUAAACUGAAAUCAUUAAAGUAAAAUCGUGCCGGUAUCUUAUUUAAUAAAUUCUAAAAUAAGUGAUAAUAAUAAAUUCAAAAGGACUACAUUAGAAUUAGAUGGUAAAAUAAUACAAGAUUAAAUAGUUAUCAGCCUACAUUAUGUUAUCUUUGAUUUUUCAAAAAAUCAGCAAAUAUCGAAUAAAGACCAUGCAAGUUUAAGCUUUCUAUUGAAUAGUAUCUCUCACGGUCCACUUUCGAUGCUUAGAGAUGACAAUAAAUAAAUAAAUAAUGGGAUUUUCUUCAUUUGCAAGAUAAGUUCAAUGGGUCAUCAUGCACUACCAUUGACAUUUGUUCAAUUUUGCAUAAGAUAUCAUCUUUAAUAAUAUAAAUAGGGGAGAAGUUAUUUGAACUCACACUAUAAUACACAAUAAGUUCAUAUAACUAAUAAAUUUACUAUUACACUAAAAUUUUCUUUUUUACUCUAUAAACCCAUUUAAAUUCCUAAUAUAUCCUAAUAAAUAUUUUUAACUUCUUUUAUUUGUUUCCUAUAAUAGAUUUCUUAACAAAUCAUCUUUUUUGCAAUGACUUUUUCUUUUUCUUAAGUGAACUCUUAUUUUUAUCAUGAAAUGCUGUAUACAAAGACAUAAGGAAGAAUACUUCACAAUUCACAUUUAAUUAAACUAAUUAUAUUUGAAUUAUAUUGAACAAAAUGAUUAAAAAUGAGUUUGUAAUCUUUAGAUCCUUCUGAAUAAAAUUUUUCUAAAUUAAAAUAUUCAAUGGAAAACUCAAAAAGAAACUUCAAAAUAACGAAUAUGAUAAAGACCAGAGAACAAUUGCAGAGAGGAAGUAGAAAAUGUGAAAAAAUAAAUAAACAUUUAUUUAACUAUAAAGAGAAAAGUUGUAAAGCAUAAAUAUUGGUUAUUUUAGUAAUUUAAGUUUGGAUAUCUUUGUAAUAAAAAUUUUAUUAAAAAACAGGUGUAAAGAAUAUUACCGUGGGACCUUCCAUAAAUAAAUGGCAUGGACAAGUAUGCACCCAAAGAAAUGAAGCUUCCUAACUCUUCAAUAUUCCUAUCACUUGGCUUUUUCCUAUUAUCAUCAUUUCAUUGGAUAGCUUCGGCAGAUCCUACUCAUCAAAUUUUUUUUCAAUGCCUUUCUCUAUAGUCGUCUCUCUUGGAGAAUUCCA
rnacentral:lncRNA from 1 species